rnacentral:rRNA from 1 species
UACGGAGGGGGCUAGCGUUGUUCGGAAUUACUGGGCGUAAAGCGCACGUAGGCGGCUUUGUAAGUUAGAGGUGAAAGCCCGGGGCUCAACCCCGGAAUAGCCUUUAAGACUGCAUCGCUUGAACACGGGAGAGGUGAGUGGAAUUCCGAGUGUAGAGGUGAAAUUCGUAGAUAUUCGGAAGAACACCAGUGGCGAAGGCAGCUCACUGGACCGUUGUUGACGCUGAGGUGCGAAAGCGUGGGGAGCAAACAGG